rnacentral:misc_RNA from 1 species
AAACCUCAACCUCCUUGGUUUCUUCUGGAGACCGAAGCAGGCUUGGAAUUUGGAGGCCUUUGCUGGCACCUCUGCCAGCUCCUCUCAAACAAAUUAGCAGGGUCCUCUUUGCCGAUCCUUGACGUGUGAUAAGAUGUUUCCAUGUCUUGGUUUCUGGCUCUGUCACUUUUGGGACCUGCUUCUAACCGUCUGGACCUUGUGUCGAGACAAAGUUUCGAGCAUGUGCAACCCCUUCUCGGGGAAGCUCUCCUCGACCCCACGAAC